rnacentral:rRNA from 1 species
AUUGAACGCUGGCGGCAGGCCUAACACAUGCCAGUCGAACGGUAACAGGAAGCAGCUUGCUGCUUCGCUGACGAGUGGCGGACGGGUGAGUAAUGUCUGGGAAGCUGCCUGAUGGAGGGGGAUAACUACUGGAAACGGUAGCUAAUACCGCAUAAUGUCGCAAGACCAAAGAGGGGGACCUUCGGGCCUCUUGCCAUCGGAUGUGCCCAGAUGGGAUUAGCUUGUUGGUGGGGUAACGGCUCACCAAGGCGACGAUCCCUAGCUGGUCUGAGAGGAUGACCAGCCACACUGGAACUGAGACACGGUCCAGACUCCUACGGGAGGCAGCAGUGGGGAAUAUUGCACAAUGGGCGCAAGCCUGAUGCAGCCAUGCCGCGUGUAUGAAGAAGGCCUUCGGGUUGUAAAGUACUUUCGGCGGGGAGGAAGGGAGUAAAGUUAAUACCUUUGCUCAUUGACGUUACCCGCAGAAGAAGCACCGGCUAACUCCGUG